rnacentral:rRNA from 1 species
AAUGAACGCUGGCGGCAUGCCUAACACAUGCAAGUCGAACGAGACCUUCGGGUCUAGUGGCGCACGGGUGCGUAACGCGUGGGAACCUGCCCUUAGGUUCGGAAUAACUCCCCGAAAGGGGUGCUAAUACCGGAUAAUGUCUUCGGACCAAAGAUUUAUCGCCUUUGGAUGGGCCCGCGUUGGAUUAGCUAGUUGGUAGGGUAAAAGCCUACCAAGGCGACGAUCCAUAGCUGGUCUGAGAGGAUGAUCAGCUACACUGGGACUGAGACACGGCCCAGACUCCUACGGGAGGCAGCAGUGGGGAAUAUUGGACAAUGGGCGAAAGCCUGAUCCAGCAAUGCCGCGUGAGUGAUGAAGGCCUUAGGGUUGUAAAGCUCUUUUACCCGGGAUGAUAAUGACAGUACCGGGAGAAUAAGCUCCGGCUAACUCCGUG